rnacentral:rRNA from 1 species
AUUGAACGCUGGCGGCAGGCUUAACACAUGCAAGUCGAGCGAGCGGCGGACGGGUGAGUAAUGUCCGGGAAACUUCCUGAUGGCGGGGGAUAUCUACUUUAAACGGUAGCUAAUACCGCAUACCAUCAGAUGUGCCCAGAUGGGAUUAGCGAGUAGGUGGGGUAAUGGCUCACCUAGGCGACGCUCCCUAGCUGGUCUGAGAGGAUCACCAGCAACACUGGAACUGAGACACGGUCCAGACUCCUACGGGAGGCAGCAGUGGGGAAUAUUGCACAAUGGGGGCAAGCCUGAUGCAGCCAUGCCGCGUGGGUGAAGAAGGCCUUCGGGUUGUAAAGCACUUUCAGCGAGGAGGCGUUACUCGCAGAAGAAGCACCGGCUAACUCCGUGCCAGCAGCCGCGGUAAUAC